rnacentral:tRNA from 1 species
ACUAUUUUGGCAGAUAAGUGCAAUUGAUUUAGAAUCUUUAUAUAUAGAAUUCUAUAAAUAGUA